UAGGAGCUGGCUACUUAUGGCUUCCUAUGAUGCUGCUAUCGAAAAUUGUUCAGACAUUCAUAUUAGCCGACUUUUGUUACUAUUACAUGAAGAGUGUGAUGAUGAAUGGCCAACUUCUGACCACCAUGCCUUUGCCUGUCUGAGAAAAAAACAAAUUAUGAAAUUAAGAGAAUGUAUUAGUUAAUUAGUGUACAUUUUUUUUUUGUUUUAAGGAUUCUAAUGUUUUUCUUAAUGCAUGAAAAUGGAUUUACUGCA